UACGUAGGGUGCGAGCGUUGUCCGGAAUUAUUGGGCGUAAAGGGCUCGUAGGCGGUUUGUCGCGUCGGGAGUGAAAACCUUGGGCUUAACUCAGGGCUUGCUUUCGAUACGGGCAGACUUGAGGUAUUCAGGGGAGAACGGAAUUCCUGGUGUAGCGGUGAAAUGCGCAGAUAUCAGGAAGAACACCGAUGGCGAAAGCAGCUCUCUGGGACGGUACUGACGCUGAGGCGCGAAAGCGUGGGGAGCGAACAGG
rnacentral:rRNA from 1 species